AUCGAGUUAUUCGAAUCAACUCGAAUUUUUUUCCCGAAUUUCGAGUUCGAAUCGAGUUGGGUUUUCGAAUUCGAAUAACUCAAAUAAUUCGAAUAAUUUGAAUAUCAAACUAUAACAUUUUACAUUUUUACCCCAAACUCCCAAACCUUUUUACUUUUCCCUCAAAACUUUUACUCAUUCCCACUUUCCCCCCAAAACUUUUACUCCCCUCCCCUCCCAACCCCCCAAUCUACCCAAAAUCUAUUUCCCACCAAAAUUUUACUCUCCCAUUUAUUUUUUCUCAAAAUUUUACUCCCAAAAACCCUCAAAACCUUUUAUUUUCCCCCAAAAUUUUUACUCCCUCCCACUUUUCCCCUAAAAUUUUUAUUUCCUUCCUAUCUCACCUCCCAUCUAUCCCAAACCCUCCCCCCUCCAAUUUUUUUUAAUAUUUUCCCUCCAAAAUUUUACUCCCCUUGUUUACUUUCCCUCAAACUUUUAUUCCCCAAAACUUUUUAUUUUUC
rnacentral:lncRNA from 1 species